GGUCAUGUGACUGAAGUUAAGUAAAUUAGAGUCCAAUCACUUUGUUUCCUGAUUUAGAGCAGAAGAGGCAGCUUUGCUUCUAACAGCAUGACAGUAGAGGAGAGUCACUGAAGAAGGGAAGGAGUGAUCAAGACACAUUCAGAGGUCCUGGUGGUGUGGAUGUUCAUUCCAGCAUGGGCCCCUUCUGGAGCAUCACAGUUGUCAACCCAAUGUGUCCUCUGUGGCCUCAUGUCAGGAAAUGAGCUUCAGAAAUAUUCACCAAAUGAUUCCUGAUUACACAUGA